rnacentral:rRNA from 1 species
GAUGAACGCUGGCGGCGUGCUUAACACAUGCAAGUCGAGCGAACAGACGCGGAGGUUGCUCCGUUCACGUUUGCCGAGCAGGGGUGUGAAACAUGUGGAUACUCCACUUGUAUUAGUGGGAAAAUUUGGGGAAACCGGCUAAUAUCCCGUAUGACCUCCUGCUCCGUAUGGUUCAAUGGUAAAUGUCGGCGUUUCUGGCUCUUAUCGCGGCUUACGCGCUGCAUUGGCUAGUUGGUAAGGUAACGGCUUACCAAGGGAACGCUGCGUAGCCGACCUGAGAGGGUGAUCGGCCGCCUUGGAACGUAGCCAGGGACCAGACUCCUACGGGAGGCAGCAGUAGGGAACCUUCCGCAAUGGGCGAAAGCCUGACGGAGCAACGCCGCGUGAGUUAAGAAGGUCUUCGGAUCGUAAAACUCUGUUAUUGGGGAAGAACAGAUUUGUAAGUAACCAUGCACGUAUUGACGGUACCGGAUCAGAAAGCCACGGCUAACUACGUG